rnacentral:tRNA from 1 species
GGCUCUGUAGCUUAGUGGUAAAGAAGCGCUCAUCCAGCGAUUAGGAAGUCGUGGGUUCGAUUCCCACCGGAACAA